CUGAUGAGCACGCCGCGUGAGUGAGAGGUCUUCGGAUCGUAAAACUCUGUUGUUAGAGAAGAACACGAGUGAGAGUAACUGUUCAUUCGAUGACGGUAUCUAACCAGCAAGUCACGGCUAACUACGUGCCAGCAGCCGCGGUAAUACGUAGGUGGCAAGCGUUGUCCGGAUUUAUUGGGCGUAAAGGGAACGCAGGCGGUCUUUUAAGUCUGAUGUGAAAGCCUUCGGCUUAACCGGAGUAGUGCAUUGGAAACUGGAAGACUUGAGUGCAGAAGAGGAGAGUGGAACUCCAUGUGUAGCGGUGAAAUGCGUAGAUAUAUGGAAGAACACCAGUGGCGAAAGCGGCUCUCUGGUCUGUAACUGACGCUGAGGUUCGAAAGCGUGGGUAGCAAACA
rnacentral:rRNA from 1 species